AGGUAAGCUACUAAGAGCGAAUGGUGGAUGCCUUGACUGGUAAAGGCGAUGAAGGACGUACUAGACUGCGAUAAGCUACGGGGAGCUGUCAAGAAGCUUUGAUCCGUAGAUGUCCGAAUGGGGCAACCCAAUGUAUAGAGAUAUGCAUUACCUAUAUAGGAGCGAACGAGGGGAAUUGAAACAUCUUAGUACCCUCAGGAAAAGAAAUCAAUAGAGAUUGCGUCAGUAGCGGCGAGCGAAAGCGCAAGAGGGCAAACCCAGUGCUUGCACUGGGGGUUGUAGGACUGCAAUGUGCAAGAGGUAAGUUUAGCAGAACAUUCUGGAAAGUAUAACCAUAGAGGGUGAUAGUCCCGUAUGCGAAAAACAAACCUUAGCUAGCAGUAUCCUGAGUAGGGCGGGACACGAGGAAUCCUGUCUGAAUCCGGGUCGACCACGAUCCAACCCUAAAUACUAAUACCAGAUCGAUAGUGCACAAGUACCGUGAGGGAAAGGUGAAAAGAACUGAGGUGAUCAGAGUGAAAUAGAACCUGAAACCAUUUGCUUACAAUCAUUCAGAGCCCUAUGUAGCAAUACAGGGUGAUGGACUGCCUUUUGCAUAAUGAGCCUGCGAGUUGUGGUGUCUGGCAAGGUUAAGCAAACGCGAAGCCGUAGCGAAAGCGAGUCUGAAUAGGGCGCUUAGUCAGAUGCUGCAGACCCGAAACGAAGUGAUCUAUCCAUGAGCAAGUUGAAGCUAGUGUAAGAACUAGUGGAGGACUGAACCCAUAGGCGUUGAAAAGCCCCGGGAUGACUUGUGGAUAGGGGUGAAAGGCCAAUCAAACUUCGUGAUAGCUGGUUCUCUCCGAAAUAUAUUUAGGUAUAGCGUUGUGUCGUAAUAUAAGGGGGUAGAGCACUGAAUGGGCUAGGGCAUACACCAAUGUACCAAACCCUAUCAAACUCCGAAUACCUUAUAUGUAAUCACAGCAGUCAGGCGGCGAGUGAUAAAAUCCGUCGUCAAGAGGGAAACAACCCAGACUACCAGCUAAGGUCCCUAAAUCUUACUUAAGUGGAAAACGAUGUGAAGUUACUUAAACAACCAGGAGGUUGGCUUAGAAGCAGCCAUCCUUUAAAGAAAGCGUAAUAGCUCACUGGUCUAGUGAUUUUGCGCGGAAAAUAUAACGGGGCUAAAGUAAGUACCGAAGCUGUAGACUUAGUUUACUAAGUGGUAGGAGAGCGUUCUAUUUGCGUCGAAGGUAUACCGGUAAGGAGUGCUGGAGCGAAUAGAAGUGAGCAUGCAGGCAUGAGUAGCGAUAAUUAAUGUGAGAAUCAUUAACGCCGUAAACCCAAGGUUUCCUACGCGAUGCUCGUCAUCGUAGGGUUAGUCGGGUCCUAAGUCGAGUCCGAAAGGGGUAGACGAUGGCAAAUUGGUUAAUAUUCCAAUACCAACAUUAGUGUGCGAUGGAAGGACGCUUAGGGCUAAGGGGGCUAGCGGAUGGAAGUGCUAGUCUAAGGUCGUAGGAGGUUAUACAGGCAAAUCCGUAUAACAAUACUCCGAGAACUGAAAGGCUUUUUGAAGUCUUCGGAUGGAUAGAAGAACCCCUGAUGCCGUCGAGCCAAGAAAAGUUUCUAAGUUUAGCUAAUGUUGCCCGUACCGUAAACCGACACAGGUGGGUGGGAUGAGUAUUCUAAGGCGCGUGGAAGAACUCUCUUUAAGGAACUCUGCAAAAUAGCACCGUAUCUUCGGUAUAAGGUGUGGUUAGCUUUGUAUUAGGAUUUACUCCGAAAGCAAGGAAACUUACAACAAAGAGUCCCUCCCGACUGUUUACCAAAAACACAGCACUCUGCU
rnacentral:rRNA from 1 species